UUUUAUUUGAACAAGUUAAAUACAACGUCCUGUAGCCUGAAUGACCUUUCCCCACCAUUUUACCGCUUACAGCGCCAACACCGGCAAACGAGAAAACUUUCUUUUCGGAUCGUUCAUUUUUUGCGACGAGUUGGUAACGGCUCGUCAGUACCAAAAUGGUGAACGGGAGGAUUCCCACGGUCUGCUCAAAGACUUACGUGACUCCAAGACGUCCUUAUGAAAAGGCACGUUUGGAUCAAGAAUUGAAGAUCAUUGGUGAAUAUGGUCUCAGGAAUAAACGUGAAGUGUGGCGUGUGAAGUACACUUUGGCUAAAAUUCGUAAAGCCGCUCGUGAAUUGCUCACACUGGAAGAAAAGGACCCAAAAAGGUUGUUUGAAGGUAACGCAUUGUUGCGUCGUCUUGUUCGUAUCGGAGUCUUAGACGAAAACCGCAUGAAACUCGAUUACGUGUUGGGUCUCAAAAUCGAAGAUUUCUUGGAAAGGCGGCUCCAAACUCAAGUUUUCAAACUGGGUCUUGCCAAGUCCAUCCAUCAUGCCCGCGUUUUGAUCAGACAGAGACAUAUCCGGUAAUUAAGUCGUUCACAAAGGCCACUUAGUUGAAUAACUAACGCCUUGAAAUUUCAUGUGCCGAUAAGGGUUCGUAAACAGGUGGUGAACAUUCCAUCGUUUAUUGUGAGAUUGGACUCGCAGAAACACAUUGAUUUCUCGUUGAAAUCGCCCUUCGGUGGCGGACGUCCAGGACGUGUGAAGAGGAAGAACCUCCGUAAAGGCGCUGGAGGCGGCGGCGGAGGCGAAGAAGAAGAAGAUUGAGCUAAUUGUUUAGCUUUACAAAAAUAAAUACUUUCAAUUAA